GGAAGAUUUGUGUGUAUUAUUCC
rnacentral:siRNA from 1 species